ensembl:snRNA U1 U1 spliceosomal RNA
AUGCUUACCUGGCCCAAGAAAUACCAUGAUCAAGCAUUUAGUUUUCCCAGGCUGAGGCUCACCCAUUGUACUGCAGGUGUGCUGACUCCUAUAACUUUCCCAAAUGGCAGAAGCUCGGGUGCAUAAUUUGUGACAGUGGGCAACUGCAUCGGCGCUCUCCCCU